AGUAAGCAUAAAUUGCUCUGGUUAUUUUCAGCUCUAAAUAUAUAAAUUUCAGUUAGAAAAUUAUCUUUUAUUUGGCAGUCAAAAAACUAUCCUGUAAUCAUGAGCAGAAAGAAAAAUCUCAAAUUAAUUGAUCCAAAACCCUGGUUACAAUGAGUAUGUUUUCUUGUUAUAUCUUGUUCCUGGUGGAGCGAGGCUUUCCAGGCAGCAUCACAGUGAAGUCUCUCCAGUCUGCAUCCACAAAAGAGUUUUUAAAGAUAUACGAAUUCAUCUACACUUUACUGGAAUCAUCCUUUCAGAUGCCCACUGCCAAAGUGGAGGAGGAGAUCCCAAGAAUGCUCGAAGAUCUGGGAUACCCAUUUGUGCUCUCAAAAACCUCCAUGUACUCCAUUGGUGCUCCUCACACCUGGCUUCAGGCUCUUGGAGCUCUUAUCUGGCUCAUCGACAAGGCAGAGUUGAAGGUUGCUGACUAUAAUAAACUGUGUCGUAAGCUGAAGCUCAUCCCGCAGUCAGCAGAGAACGCAUGCGGUCAUGACUUUGAGAUCAGAACAGAUUACAGCACCACAACCAUCACACAGUACAAGACACAGAUACAGGUACCGUCGCUACAGCUGUCCAUCAAAGAGGCUUCAUUUUUGUAACGAUUAAGGACUUUAAUUCUUCUUUUCUCCGACUUGUCUUAACUCUGGUAGCACCCUCUGAAGAACAUGAUGGUAGAUGUGGAGGAUGAAUACAGCAGACUCACGAAUGUGAAGGUGAGUUUGGAAGACACUGUUGAACAGGCGCAAGACUUUCAUUCGACCUCUUGUAAUUAUCUUUUAAGUAUUAAUGGUUUUCAAUUUAUGGAUGGAACAGGAAUCACACUCUUGCUUGAGCGCUGCAAGUCAAAUGCAGCACAAUUUCAUGUUCUACAGUCCCACAGUUUCAGAGCAGUUCGCAAUAAAUUCCACUCAUUUAUGCCAAAGAAUUAUGAAUUCUAACAGUAUUUAAUUUAUGGUGUUCACAUUGUAACAUGUUGGAAAUAGUUGGAGUGCAUAUCACAAGAAGUGUUUGGAAAAGAACGUGAUGCAGGGAUGCGAGGAAGCUGAGAAGGAACUCAAAGCUGCUCAACAACAGUGAGCAUCUUAGCAUCCACUUCAACUUCUCCGGCAGGUAUCACGUGGUCCUGGAGGAGACUAAUGAGGAGAACCGCAUGGUGUCCAAAAACCUGAUUGAUGUCCUCAAUUCCGCAGCAAACCACCUGUGUGCAGUUGAAAAACACUGCAAUGAGCAGCUCAAAAGGUUUGGUAAGAUGAAGAAAGUCAUUCGUGAAGAUGAGGCUGACAUGAAACAGCAAACGGAUCUAGUGGAAAACUUCAUGAAGAAAGUGAACAGUAUUUAACAGUAUUUAACUUUAAUUUUUUUUUACAUUUUUUUUUUACUGAUGUUGUCAGAUUCUGGUCAUGAAAUUAUAUCGAAGACAUUGUCUUUGGAGACAGAAUCAUACUUUGUGUAUUUAUCCUGUAUUUACUUGUUUGUUUACUAAAAAUAAAUAUGUUUAGGAAAAUUGUAGAUCAAAAUGUGAUGUUUAUUGUAACAGUUUGCUUAUCUUACAUAGAUUAUUGUCAUGAGUCAGGUUUUUUCUUCCGUUUUCUCUCUCGCACGCUCUCACUCAUUUACUUACUUACACACACACACAC